rnacentral:misc_RNA from 1 species
GGGAGGGUGGGGGGAGGGGGAAUUGAUUAUACAAAUUCAGUCAUUAAGAUUCAGCUCUUUUGGGCAAAUCUCCUUUGGCAAAGCUGCUGAAGUUUCCACUAGCUGGGCAGUUUACCUGACAGUGAAUAACUGAGCAGAAUGGGUACUUUCAGAUUAUUGUCUUUUAUUAUCAUUUACUGAGGAUUGCAUCCUUGCUACAGGGCAGAUCUCCUUUGGCAAAAAGUUUUUCUUUCGCAAGCUUGACUCCAGUUUGCAACAUCUGUAGCCUAGUGAUACAUCACCUUUGCAGUGCAAUCUUCUUUGAAGUUUCUUUUUGCAAGAGCUUCAAUCCAUCUGCUGGGCAAAUCUCCUUUGGCAUCAGGAGUCCAAGUUGACUUCUAUUAUCCCUGUGGGCUAUCAGGAGCUGUGAGCUGGCUCCCCCUAUCCCUUGAGGGCAAAUCUCCUUUGGCAUUUGGGAGUCCUGAGUUGGCUCCCUGUUAUCCUUUAAAAGGCUUUGGCAUAUGAUCUCCACUUUUAGAGGCCAAAAAAUAUCUUGUUGGAAUAUCUAUAUUGAAGCUUGGCAUCAAUUCUGAAAACCAGAUCAACAUCAGGAUUUAUUCUGCAGCAUUGAUACUGUAGCCCAAUCUUUGCCAGGCCACUGUUUUGUUGUCCCAUUGCAGUGUGUAUUAACAUAGCAUUACACCAGGACAGCUUUUGGCAUUUCAAAUUGUUUAAGACAGUGCAAUUCUAGCGGUGAUGGACAUGCUCCCUAGUGAUUCUGAUUGGGAAAGUUUCAGUGACAGUGGCAGUGAGCUUGACUUUUUGUAUGGUGGGCAGGCUCAUUCCAUUUUAUCAAGCCUGGAGCAAAGCCUAGCCAAAAUUGAUGAUUUCCUCUCAUUUGAAAGGGCGUUUAUACAUGGGGACAUUGUUUGUCCUGUUGCUGAUCCAUCAGGACAGAUGGGCAGAGUUGUAAAUGUUAAAAUGUAUGUUGACUUGGAAAAUGUUCAUGGAAAGGUCAUAAAAAAUGUUGAUUCCAAGAAUCUUCUAAAGAUUCGCUCCAUGUCAGUGGGAGAUUAUGUGGUUCAUGGGCCAUGGAUGGGAAGGGUUGAUAAAGUUGUUGACAAUGUCAUCAUCAUCUUUGAUGACGGGACAAAGUGCGAGGUUACAGCAGAAGAUGAAGAACAGCUCAUGCCUCUUUCUCCAAACAUGCUUGAAGAUUCAAUAUACCCCUAUUAUCCAGGACAGAGAGUGCAGGUUAGACUUUCUGGUGUUUCUAAGUCCACUAAAUGGUUAUGUGGUGCUUGGAAGGAAAAUCGGGAUGUAGGGACUGUUUAUUCUGUAAAAGCAGGUCUAGUGUAUGUUAAUUGGCUUGCCUGUGCUAUUGUUGGUUGUGGUUUGAAUAUGCUUGCUCCUCAUCGUUUGCAGGAUGAGAAAAACCUGACUUUGUUGCCAUGUUUUUCCCAUGAAAAUUGGCAGCUAGGUGACUGGUGUACACUUCAUGUUGCUGGUUGUAAGGGUAUGAAGGAGCAGAUGGUUUUUGAUGCAUUUGACCUUGAGAUCAUUAAAGAGCAAUAUAAGAUUGGAAAAGGGUUUAAGAGGCAAGAUCUUUGCUCGAAUUUUGAGGAAGUCUUUAUCAUUGUGAAGACAAAGACCAUAGUUGAUGUUUUGUGGCAGGAUGGUGGCUGCUCAUUGGGAUUGGAUUCACAAUCUCUAGCCCCUGUAAAUAUUGUUAAUGCUCAUGAAUUCUGGCCAGGGCAGUUUGUACUUGAUAAGGGUGCUUGUGAAGACCCACAUGUUUCUGGAAACCAAAAAUGGGGUGUAGUGACUGCUAUGGAUGCGAAGGAACGGACUGUUAGAGUGAAAUGGAAACCGGCUAAUAAUGUUUGUGCCAACCAGGUGGAGGAAACUGUGAGUGCUUAUGAACUGGUUGAGCACCCAGAUUUCUCUUAUUGCUAUGGGGAUAUUGUCUUUAAAAAUGUUGAACAGGCUGAUAAGCAUCAUCUGAACAAAGAGAUUAGCAUGGGCAAAGAAAUUGAUCUUGAAGUCCAGGACUGUAGAAGAGGUCAGAUUGAUUGUCCUUGUCAUUGUUACUUGUCCUGUAUUGGCUAUGUUACUGGCUUCAAAGAUGGUGAUGUUGAGGUGACGUGGGCUUCUGGAAUUGAAACCAAGGUUGCACCUAAUGACAUUUUUCGAAUUGAUAAAUAUGAAAGUUCAACUACAAAUUCUGCGAUGAACGAACAAAAUGAUGGUGAAAUGAAUAUGAAUCAAGAGAUGAUUGAUCUUGACAAACAAUCCUUUAGCUUGAAAGGAAAGGACUUGCCAAGUUCCAAUGGCAACAGUGAGUGCAAAAGGCACCUGUGGAAGUCUAUUCCCUUCCUUCCUCAGUCCACUGUUGGAUUUUUCAUGAGCAUUGCAGAAAAUAUAUUUGGAUCCAUUGGUUCGAUAUCACUGUCUGGCCCAUUAUCAUUUGUUUCUUUUCCUAAAGAUGGUAAUCAAUCUCAGACUCUUGAAGAGAAAGGAAUACAGGAAAACUGUGAUCUCUGCACAGAGAUGCAACCUCUGAUACCAAGUGAGAUGCAGACAUUUGAAAGUACAAGUUUAAAGCUGGAAGUCAACCAUAUUCAAGAGAAUAAAGAACAAUGUUUACCCACCAACAAGAGUGUAGAAAAGUUCAUGCAAUUUGAAAUGGUUGGUGAUUGCUCUGACCACCACUUUAUUGAAGAUGCAGGCAGGGGAUUGGCAUUCUCUCAGGUGAAAAGAAGUUGGUUGAAGAAGGUCCAAGAAGAAUGGAGUAACCUAGAGAAAAAUCUUCCUGAAUCAAUAUAUGUCCGUAUCUAUGAGGACAGAAUGAAUCUCCUUCGAGCAGCCAUUGUUGGUGCACCUGGAACUCCAUAUCAUGAUGGGCUAUUUUUCUUUGAUAUAUAUCUUCCUCCGGAGUAUCCUCAUGAACCCCCUGUAAGUUAAUUAAUCUAGACUUCCCAAAGGUUUACCAGUUUAAUGAUGCUUGAAUGAAUGGCUAGCUGCAAAUUGGCACGGUGCACUGUUGACAACUCUAAGCCAACAUAGUCCUUCUAAGUUCUGUUAAGGGGUACAUUUGAUUUCUAUUUACCUUAUUCAAGAGGGACAUGUAGCUAAUUUGCUAAAAUUAGGGUGUCCAAUGUAGCUGUCUAUAAUCUACUCUUUAUGGGUUGACAUUCAUAUUCAUAUUUGACAAGAAACUUAUUUGUUGAUGUAAUUUCUCAUCCAGUUGGUGCACUACCGUUCCGGUGGGCUUCGUGUCAAUCCAAAUUUAUAUGAGUCUGGAAAGGUCUGCCUGAGUCUCCUCAAUACAUGGACAGGCACAGGCACUGAAGUGUGGAAUCCAGAGAGCUCAAGUGUUCUGCAAGUUCUUCUCUCCCUCCAGGCCCUUGUGCUUAAUGAAAAGCCUUAUUUCAAUGAGGCUGGAUUUGAUAAGCAGAUAGGAAGAGCUGAGGGAGAGAAAAACUCUGUUAGCUAUAAUGAAAAUGCAUUCCUCAUGACCUGGAAGUCCAUGCUUUACUUACUUCGCCAGCCACCAAAGCAUUUUGAGGCACUCAUAGAGGAGCACUUGAGGCAACGAUCGCAAUAUAUUCUAUUGGCUUGUAAAGCAUAUAUGGAAGGAGCUCCAGUAGCAUACACAUUUGGACGUGGACAGAUUGAGCAUGAAAGUCAAAAGGGCGGUUCUACAGGUUUCAAAAUCAUGCUUGCUAAACUCUUCCCAAAACUUGUGGAGGCAUUUGCUGCUAAAGGAAUUGAUUGCAGCCAAUUCACAGAGCUAGAGCAGUGAAUGUGCUUACCAGUGCAUUUGUGCUAAUAAAUCUGUAUCAUAUCAACACGUUCUUGGAGAACAAUAGUCUUGCCUUUUUAAAAAAAUAAAAAAAUAAAAACAAAAGUGAAGAAAAAGAAAA